rnacentral:rRNA from 1 species
ACCCCAUGGAGCUUUAAACCUGACUACACCCCUAUCUAUUAUACCCUUAAAUCAACAGGGCCUUUGUCUGUCGGUUUUAGGUUGGGGUGACCGCGGAGCAUAAAUUAACCUCCAAGAUGAACUGGACUAACCCAUUAUCUAAGAUUUACACCUCAAAGAAUCAGCACACUGACAUAAAAUGAUCCGACAUUCGAUCAACGAACCAAGUUACCCUGGGGAUAACAGCGCAAUCUACUUCAAGAGCCCCUAUCGACAAGCAGGUUUACGACCUCGAUGUUGGAUCAGGGUAUCCUAGUGGUGCAACAGCUACUAAAGGUUCGUUUGUUCAACGAUUAAAACCCU